CAGGGGAACGACGAGGGAGCCAUGUGCAGGUUAGCUUUGUUAUUUUGCUCCUUUAAUUUUACGUUGGUGAUGGGCACCCCAAGUACAAGUUUUUUUUCUAUAUAGUUUGUUCCGUACGUUGAGAUUUGGCACGCACAAGAUCGACACUGUAUUGACCAGCUGCAACGACGACGACGCAGGCAGACAGACAGACAGACACGAUCUACUACUACAAAAUGUUAGUAGGUUUUUGUGCGCGCGUGCAUGGACCAUAGUAUUCUCAAUGUGAGUACAAGCUGACAGGCACAUGACUACAAGAUAAGCACAGCAUUGCUAUAGAUCUCCUGCAUCGCAAUCGCCACUUUCCAAAAGCCAUGCAUCCAGAUCAGCGCCGGCCGCUUCCAUUAUCAACUCGCGAUAACUAACCUUUACUCGAUUGAUCGCCAGCCAUCUAGAUUGAGCGCUUGCGAUCGAGCACACAUAUAGGUAGCCACUCAACAAAAAAGUCCAAUGUACUGUAGUACGCUCGUUGAAAGGAAAAAGAAGGAUCGGACAAAGUCGACCGUAUAUUCGACCUUUGCCCAGCUGGGGUCCACACCACACGCAGCAACAAUCCAUGCUGGCAAUGGUUAGGAGCAGGAGCCAGGAGGACUCGGAGGCAGGCGGCUCUCACUCACAGCUCAGCAUGGCGCCCCACACCUGGUGACCAAAGGCAGGGGUUGCGGGUCACAACUGACAAGAGGUGCGGCCACACUCCAAGAAAAUAUUCACCGUAGAUCGUCCACGGAACAAAGCCGCGGAGAUGAUGUUGUUGCUUGAAUAAUUUUCUACCGUCUCUUCUCCGUUUUAUUGUAGUUAGAUUUAACCAUAAUAAAGAACUAGAGAAAAUAAUUUUCAGAUUAGUCAUCCUUACUCUUCGGUGACAGAAAAAAGAAGAAAGACGACAUCAGAAAGAAGAAGUUCCUCAAUUCCGCCUUCGUUCGUUGGGCAUUUGUUCUCACGUCAUUUGCCAAGUGUUUGCCUAUGCAGUCAUCCAUACUGCAAAUCAUCUAACAAGUUAGGUUUUGGUUUUGAGUUAUGUUUUACACAUCGUGAGUACUAUAUUGUAAUCCAAAGUGCUUAUAACGAAAAAAAAACUCAUGAGGCACGGGGGACACUGCACGUAGGUGCGUGGAGGCUCAUGCUCACCCUCAAUUCUAUUUCUAUCCCAUCGGGACCAUGGCUUUACACGUUAGUAUUUUUUUUCUUCUUCUUCACACUUGCACGUACCUUUGACACGCGCGCACUCCCAGGCCAAAAAAGGAAUGGAAACCAAACUGUUGGGAAAGAACACUUAACAGUAGUUUAUACUGUAUUGUGUCGUGGCAAUUGUGGUGAAUGGACUGUAGUGGCAUUGUGGCAAGGCAAAUAAAGAGAUGUUACAACUGCACAAGUGGCUGGCCACAUGCACAGACGGGGAUCUUUAUUUUGGGCCCAAUGCACCACUAGACGCUGCUGCUGCCCUUUCAGGCUUCAUUAUUCAGCUGACACUAACAGGAAGGAAUAAAUCUGAUCUAAAUCCCAUAGGGACAGCGGUGAAUUGGUGAUCGAUCGAUCAAAUGCGUAUAACGCACAUGCAAAGAGCCAAAGAUGAAGGGCUCAUGAUUCUUGGAUCAGUCUAUGAUUGCUGCUGCCUUUUGUAGGACAGGAGACCGUACCCUGCACGAUUUCAGUGUGAUUGGACGAUGAGCAAUUUGUUUUUCCUCUUUAAUUUUGUCCGCUAGGGGAUAAGGAUGAUUUGCCAUGGAGCACGUGGGGCCUACACAAAAAGUAUGUAAGCCAUGCUCUUUGAUUCUUUCUGCCUAGAAUUCUUUCUUUAUGGAAAUAUUAAUGUUCCAGCACAUACUGUACACGGAUACAUCGUGGAAUAUUCUCAUCAAAACUCUGAUCCGGCGGAGCGACAUUUCUAACGACAUCUCUAUUAAGUAUAGUACUGCCGUACAAAUAUGGUGGAAGAAAGACACUACUGCUUUCGGCAUGCACCCGGCUAUUGUGGUCGGUAGGUUUGAAGACUCAAGAGUGGUUACGGUUCUGUGAAAGAAGCUUGCAAACAAAAGAAUGGAGUAGUACUACUAGCUAGGAGUAGAUCACUGAACUGAUGGAACUCUUUCACUUUACCUUUCCCUUU
rnacentral:lncRNA from 1 species